AUGAAGUUAUUGAAUGAUGUUGAACUACGCAAAUGUUGUGCUAAGUUCAUAGAAACAUUUUCACGAAAUGGUUCAUGCGAUGUUGAGUUAGAUGAUCUUUUUUCCGAAUUAAGACUGCUGCAAAUGACCUUACCAGAAUCAGGUUUGCCAUUGCAUGCUAUGGAGAUUUUUGAGUUUGUUAGAGAUAUUGACUGUUUUCCAAAUGUUUUAAUUGCUUAUCGAAUUCUGUUCACUGUACCAAUGACCGUAGCAUCAGCAGAGCGUAGCUUUUCAAAGUUGAAAUUGUUAAAGAACUAUUUGAGGUCAACAAUGUCACAAGAAAGAUUAAAUGGUCUUGCUACUUUAUGUAUUGAGAAAGAUAGGUUGGAUGAAAUAAAUGUUGAUGCAAUAAUCGAUGACUUUGCUUCUAGAAGUGUUAGACGAAUUUCCAAGUUCUAG
rnacentral:rRNA from 1 species